CCUGAAACCGGUCGCAUGCAAGCCGUCAGAGCCUGUGUGGUGAUGGCGUGCCUUUUGAAGAAUGAGCCUGCGAGUUAGUGAUGCGUGGCGAGGUUAACCCGUGGUGGGGGAGUCGUAGCGAAAGCGAGUCCGAUAAGGGCGUGAGUCGCGUGUUCUAGACCCGAAGCGGUGUGAUCUAUCCAUGGCCAGGAUGAAGCGUCGGUAAGACGUCGUGGAGGUCCGAACCCACUUCAGUUGAAAAUGGAGGGGAUGAGUUGUGGAUAGGGGUGAAAGGCCAAUCAAACACCGUGAUAGCUGGUUCUCCCCGAAAUGCAUUUAGGUGCAGCGUUGCGUGGUUCUUGUUGGAGGUAGAGCACUGGAUGGUCUAGGGGGCUUAUCGGCUUACCGAAAUCAGCCAAACUCCGAAUGCUGGCAAGUGUAGCGUGGCAGUGAGACGGCGGGGGAUAAGCUUCGUCGUCGAGAGGGAAACAGCCCAGAUCAUCAGCUAAGGCCCCUAAGUGGUGACUCAGUGGGAAAGGAUGUGGAGUUGCGUAGACAACCAGGAGGUUGGCUUGGAAGCAGCCAUCCUUGAAAGAGUGCGUAAUAGCUCACUGGUCAAGUGAUUCCGCGCCGAUAAUGUAGCGGGGCUUAAGUUAUCCGCCGAAGCUGUGGCAACCUGUGUGGUUGGGUAGGGGAGCGUCGUGUCAGUGGUGAAGCUGCCGGGUGACUGUGUGGUGGAGUUGAUGCGAGUGAGAAUGCAGGCAUGAGUAGCGUGUGACGGGUGGGAAUCCCGUCCGCCGAUUAUCCAAGGGUUCCAGGGUCAAGUUUGUCUGCCCUGGGUGAGUCGGGUCCUAAGGCGAGGCCGACAGGCGUAGUCGAUGGGUAACC
rnacentral:rRNA from 1 species